rnacentral:rRNA from 1 species
UUCGAGACCAGGACGUUGAUAGGUCGGGUGUGGAAGCGCUGUGAGGCGUUAAGCUAACCGAUACUAAUUGCUCGUGAGGCUUGAUCCU